rnacentral:rRNA from 1 species
GAUGAACGCUGGCGGCGUGCCUAAUACAUGCAAGUCGAGCGAACAGACGAGGAGCUUGCUCCUCUGACGUUAGCGGCUGACGGGUGAGUAACACGUGGAUAACCUACCUAUAAUACUGGGAUAACUUCGGGAAACCGGAGCUAAUACCGGAUAAUAUAUUGAACCGCAUAGUUCAAUAGUGAAAGACGGUUUUGCUGUCACUUAUAGAUGGAUCCGCGCCGCAUUAGCUAGUUGGUAAGGUAACGGCUUACCAAGGCAACGAUGCGUAGCCGACCUGAGAGGGUGAUCAGCCACACUGGAACUGAGACACGGUCCAGACUCCUACGGGAGGCAGCAGUAGGGAAUAUUCCGCAAUGGGCGCAAGCCUGACGGAGCCACGCCGCGUGAGUGAUGAAGGUCUUCGGAUCGUAAAACUCUGUUAUUAGGGAAGAACAACUGUGUAAGUAACUAUGCACGUCUUGACGGUACCUAAUCAGAAAGCCACGGCUAACUACGUG